rnacentral:rRNA from 1 species
GACAGAGGGUGCAAACGUUAUUCGGAAUCACUGGGCUUAAAGGGUGCGUAGGCGGCCAUGUAAGUGAGGUGUGAAAUCCCUCGGCUCAACCGAGGAACUGCGCUUCAUACUGCAUGGCUUGAGGGAGACAGGGGUAAGCGGAACUGAUGGUGGAGCGGUGAAAUGCGUUGAUAUCAUCAGGAACACCGGUGGCGAAAGCGGCUUACUGGGUCUCUUCUGACGCUGAGGUACGAAAGCUAGGGGAGCGAACGGG